rnacentral:tRNA from 1 species
CUACCCGUGGCGGACGGCGCCUGACCGCUGGCUGCUGGGAGUAGCCGUGGUGAUUGUCGCGGCGCUGUUCGGUUCCUGGCGCAGAUUGC